UACAGAGGGGGCAAGCGUUAUUCGGAAUUAUUGGGCGUAAAGGGCGCGUAGGCGGCUUGGCAAGUGGAUGGUGAAAUCCCUCGGCUUAACCGAGGAACUGCCGUCCAAACUGCUUCGCUUGAGACCGGGGAGAGGUGAGUGGAAUUCCCAGUGUAGCGGUGAAAUGCGUAGAUAUUGGGAGGAACACCAGUGGCGAAGGCGGCUCACUGGACCGGUACUGACGCUGAUGCGCGAAAGCGUGGGGAGCAAACGGGG
rnacentral:rRNA from 1 species